rnacentral:lncRNA from 1 species
AUGCUUUCCAGCUCUUACUGGAGGGCUGGUGUGCUGAACUCAGGGUUUAACUGUUUGUUUUUUCAUGCACUCCUGGAAGAGCUGCCCUGCACCCCACCCCACCUCAGACCCAAAGCCGUGCCUGGACAGGGAGGACAGCAGGGCCCCUGGAACCCCCCUCCCAAUAGGUGUUGCUCCAGCCUUGCUCUGAGCAAAACUAAAGUGGCUGUGGCUGGCUGUGGUCACUUCCUCACUUGCUGGUCGGGUGACCGCUCCCUGCCUUACUCCCCUAUCUUGAAUCGCAGUCCUGCACCACGGGUUGGCUUGGGUCUGAGAUGUCACUGCUGGCGAUCCAGGUGCUGUGAGGGAGGAGGAGGAGGAGCCUGGCCAGGACCAGGCCCUGCAGAAAGCAGCUCGUUUCCCCCAGAGGUGUUGAGUCCUGAUCGCAGUUGAAAGUGUUCCUUCCCAUCUGAAAGGCAGUUGGGCAUCUGGGAACCACCAGGUUUCUUCCCCCCGCCUCUCCCACCCAUGGACGAUGGAGUCUCACUGUCGCCCAGGCUGGAGUGCAGUGGCGCGAUCUCGGCUCACUGCAACGUCUGCUUCCUGGGUUCAAGCCAUGCUCCUCCCUCAGCCUCCCGAGUAGCUGGGAUUACAGGCAUGCACCACCACACUCGCCUAAUUUUUGUAUUUUUGGUAGAGACGGGGUUUCACCAUGUUGGCCUGGCUGGUCUUGAACUCCUGACCUCAUGAUCUGCCUGCCUUGGCCUCCCAAAGUGCUGGGGUUACAGGCGUGAGCCACUGUGCCCAGCCUCCACCAGGGUUCUUUUGGUGUGGGGUCCCUUCCCAGCAGUGAUGAAAUCCCCCCCUCAUUGGCAGGAGAGGCUGUCUUUCCAUCUAACCCCCACCCCCUCCCUGUAAGCACACAAGUGAGGCCAGUACUAAACAGAUGCUUGUGAGCCACUGGGAAGCCCCUGUUCCCCCCAUGCCCUGGCCAGAGCCAGCUCUCCUUGCAACAGAGAUGGUGCUUGUCAUCCUGACUGGACCAUCCUUGGGUGCUGCUGCCUAGCCAGCAUUUUUCUUUUUCUUUCUUUUUUUUUUUUUUAGAGACAGGGUCUCUCUGUCAUCCACGCUGGAGUGUGGUGGUAUGAUCAUGGUUCACUGCAACCUCUGCCUCCUGGGCUCAGUUAAACCUCCCACCUUAGCCUCCAGCGUAGUAGCUGGGACCACAGGCACACACCACCGUGCCUGGUUAAUUUUUGUAUUUUUUGUAUUGACCCAGGGGUUUCACCAUGUUGGCCAGGCUGGUCUCAAACUUCUGGGCUCAAGUGAUCCACCUGCCUCGGCCUCCCAAAGUGCUGGGAUUACAGGCAUGAGCCACCAUGCCCAGCCCUGGCCAGUGUUUUUAAGGGAUGUGACUUAUCUUGGAGCUUUCCCAGGCAGGUUCCUAGGUUCCAGGCUGUGUGGCCUGACAUGAUGUCCCUGGGGAUCAGUGCAAGGUAAGAGUGCAGGCUGCAUGGGGUCCAGAGUUCUGGGACAGGGGUGGGGGUCGGGGGGUGCCUCCCUCGUGCCCACCGUUCCACCCCACCCUGCCCUACCCUCAUGUGCCUCCAGAGCUCCAUUUCCCGAGGUCUGGAAUAAAGCCUCUGGAUCUUGAGUUCUUUGUCAGAGGGUGGAUAUCCCUGAGAAACCAGGCUAAGUCCGUCAGAGGAGGGAAGUAGGGAAAGUGCCAGAAGGGGACAACCAAAGGGAAAGGUGGAAAAUGGGAGGAUAAAGACUCCUGCAAAGGUAUCAGGAGGAGGGAGCAGAGCCGCCCCACUCAGCUGCAGGCCUGCCCUGCCUCACAUCCUCUGCCAGCCUCCACCCAGGUGGAGCUGCAGGAGUGCAGGCCCCACCCCAACACCUGCUCUCAGGCAGAGGAGGGGCUCGGAGAGCAAGGCUGGACGGGAUCACUGCCCUGACAACUUUCCAGCACAGCUGGGAGAGGGACAUGUGCUCCUGGUCCAUUCUAUACCCCCUCCCUCACCUCCUUGACCGUCAUCCCCCAGCUCCCUGGCCUCUGGUUGGGGUGAGGGAGCGGGAGCCUCUGCGAGAGUUUGGAGGGAGGUGAGGUGCCCUUGGCCAUUGUCUUCAUGACCUUCCAGCCAUCCCCUUAAAUCUGUUCUUCUGAGGGGCCCUUCAAGUGACCCCAGGAAACCAGGAUCGGACAUUGGCAUUGAGGAUUGAGUCCACCCAACUCUCCCAUUCACGAUGGAGAAUGUGAGGCGCAGAGGUGAGUGGUUUGCCCUAAAGCAAGCCCUUUGUUGUUAUGGAGACAGUGGCCAAUGCAUGCUCCACUGGUGUCUCCUGUCUUCCAGCCAGUCCAGCACCCCACACGGCAGGCAGGCAGCAGACACCUCACCCCGCAGGCUUGGAAGCCUCUCCCUGCAGUGCUAGAGCCGUGGUUACAGCUCAGAGAUGCUGGCUGCAGACCUCUUCUUGGCAUGCCAUACUUUCUUGUCUUCUGUCUUGGUCUAAAUAUGACCCCAUCUUUCCCUAGGGCACUGGGUCUUACUCCCUGAUUAAGGGACAAAGAGAAGCCCUCUGUGACCCAUCUAGCCUCAACCUAGCCUUGUGUAGUCUCUGGCCUUUAACCCAGUGAUUAGGGUUGUUGGACAUGCAGGAUCCAUCUGGCUAUCAGCUCGUAUAAGAACCAAGACAGUGUAUCUCCAUUUCUGCCUGUAGUAGAGAAAAUGCAGUGGUUUAGUAGGAGGAGCCUAAGAGAUAGGAAUGGCUGUCUCAUCCCAGAAAAGCCCGUGCCUUCUCUUGGAGUGUGUGUUUCUUUGUGACUCUGUUUCCUUCCCUCACAAGGUUUUGAGUUUUAAUGAUGACACAAUAAUGUGCCUAACACAUGGUAGGUACUCCCUAAAUGUUUCCUAUGCUUAUCUUUUUUUUUUUUUUUUUUUGAGAUGGAGUCUUGCUGUGUCGCCCAGGCUGGAGUACAGUGGUGCAAUCUUGGCUCACUGCAACCUCCGCCUCCCAGGUUCAAGCGAUUCUCCCUGAUUUUUAGUAGAGAUGGGGUUCGCCAUGUUGGCCAGGCUGGUCUCGAACUCCUGGACUCAAGUGAUCCAUCUGCCUCGGCCUUCCAAAGUGCUGGGAUUACAGGUGUGAACCACCAUGCCUGGCCUGCGGUUAUGUUAAAAAGAUAAUAUUUCUUUCAUCCUUAACAAGCACUGAAAUUGAGUUGAUUCCAAUUGACGUACUCCUUGACUGUCUUUUCAAUGGAUCAGUAGUCAUUGAAAGAUUUUUAGGCUGGGCGCGGUGGCUCAAGCCUGUAAUCCCAGCACUUUGGGAGGCCGAGAUGGGCGGAUCACGAGGUCAGGAGAUCGAGACCAUCCUGGCUAACACGGUGAAACCCCGUCUCUACUAAAAAAUACAAAAAACUAGCCGGGCGCGGUGGCGGGCGCCUGUAGUCCCAGCUACUCGGGAGGCUGAGGCAGGAGAAUGGCGUGAACCCGGGAGGCGGAGCUUGCAGUGAGCUGAGAUCCGGCCACUGCACUCCAGCCUGGGCGGCAGAGCGAGACUCCGUCUCAAAAAAAAAAAAAAAAAAAAAAAAAGAAAGAUUUUUAACCCCAUGUUCUACCUGGGAGGGAGGUGAAAGAAGGACAGGGUGGGGCCCAGGAAUCUAGAACACACAUAAAACCCUGGAGCUAGUAGUUUUUGGCACUGACUCUAACUGUAGCUUUUUUUUUUUUUUUUUUUUUUUUGAGACAGUCUUACUCUGUUCCCCAGGCUGGAGUGCAGGGCAUCAUCUCAGCUCACUGCAAUCUCCACCUCAGCCGAGUAUGGUGGCACAUGUCUGUAGUCCCAGCUACUUGGGAGGCGGAGGCAGGAGAAUCACUUGAAACUGGGAGGCAGAGGUUGCAGUGAGCCUGAGUAGCUACAAUUAUAGGUGUGUGCCACCAUGCCCAGCUGAUUUUUGUAUUUUCAGUAGAGACAGGGUUUCGCCAUCUUGGCUGGGCUGGUCUUGAACUCCUAACCUCAAGUGAUCAACCAGCCUCAGCCUCCCAAAGUGCUGGAAUUAUAGGUGGACUUCUAGCCUUUUUAUCAAGCCAUUUAGGGCUUCAGAGUUCUGACAGUAGUUGUAUUCAUAUGCUGCUUCAGAGUUUACGAUACAUACAUUCGCUAUCUCCCAUGAUUGCCAUAAAAAGCCUGCUGACGUACAUAAAAAAGGUGUUUGCCAGGGCGGUGGCUCACGCCUAUAAUACCAGCACUUUGGGAGGCCAAGGUGGGCGGGUCACCUGAGGUCAGGAGUGCACAAUCAACCUGGCCAACAUGGUGAAACCUCCUCUCUACUAAAAAUACAAGAAGUAGCCAGGCGUGGUAGCAUGUGCCGGUAAUUGCAGAUAUUUAGGGAGGUUGAGGCAGGAUAAUCACUUGAACCUGGGAGGCGGAGGUUGCAGUGAGCUGAGACCAUGCCACUGCACUCCAGCCUGGGCAACAGAGCAAGACUCAGUCUCAAAAAAAGGAAAGUUUACUCCACCCUGCCGCCCAGGCUGGAGUGCAGUGACCCGAUCUCAGGCCGCUGUACCCUCAGCCUCCCAAGUAGCUGGGACUACAGGCAUGUACCACCACACCUGGCUAAUUUUUGUAUAUUUUGUGGAGCUGGGGUUUCUCCAUAUUGCCCAAGCUGGUCUUGAAUGAGCUCAAGCAAUCUGUCCUCCUCAACCUACCAAAAUGCUGGGAUUAUAGGUGUGAGCCACCAUGCCUGUCAAUCAUCUACUUUUAUUGCUGUGGAAACUAGAGUAAAAAAGGCUUCACCAUGGCUGGGUAUGUGGCUUACCCCUAUAAUCCCAGCACUUAGGGAGGCCGAGGCGGAGGAUCACCUGACCUGAGGUCAGAGUUCAAGACCAACCUGGCCAACAUGAUGAAACACAAUCUCUACUAAAAAUACAAAAAUUAGCCGGGUGUGGUGCCACUUGUCUGUAGUCCCAGCUACUUGGGAGGCAGGAGAAUCGCUUGAAACUGGGAGGGAGAGGUAGCAGUGAGCCGAGAUCAUGCCACUGCACUCCAGCCUGAGUGAGAGAGAGACUCCUUCUGAAAAAUAGAUAGAUAAAUAAAUAAUAAAAACCAUCAAAUAGUAGCCUGGUUAAGAAAUAGGCCGAAAAUGGCCAGGCAUGGUAGCUCACGCCUGUAAUUGCACCAUUUUGGGAGGUCGAGGCAGGUGGAUCAUGAGGUCAGGAGACCAGCCUGGCCAAGAUGGUGAAACCCC